rnacentral:lncRNA from 1 species
GGAGUUUGUAUUUAGACAGUGUCCAGGUCCUGGGGCCCUGAUCUAGGAUGGGGGAGCUGGGAGGAUGGGACACUGGUGUUGUGGAGACUGAGGUCUGAUUUCAGGCUCAGGAGGGAAAAAUGGGUUUACUCUGCUUUCUGGCCAAUUUCUUUUCCUCACACUGCUGUUUUUCUCUUUAGGUGUAAGGAAAACAUUGACCCGACUGCCGCAGGGUCCAGACCAGUUUCAAGUCCUCUCCCUGGGAUCUUCUCCUUGCCUGGGGUCCUCUGCCUCAUCCUGGGGUCCCUUCUCUUCCUGGUCCUCAUCAUCCUGGUGACUCAGGUGUUCAGAUGGAUAGCAGAGCACAGAGGUGGGCUGCAGGGGGAACUGGGGACCAGGGAAAGUGUGUGGAGGCAGGAGAUGGGGCAGGUGUGAGGAGGGGAACCUGGGCCAGGUCUCUGUUGUGAGUCUGAAGAACUCCAUGUGCUCCAUGCUGAGCUCUAAGGGGUGAGUAGACAGAGGUUCUUAGGACUGGGGCGUGAACUCUCAUAAGUCAUGACCUCUCCUAUGAGACCAGACAGAGUCAGGGCUGAGCUGUGAAUUCAGGUCAGACAGGGGAGAGGGUGCUGACAUGGUGCAUGGGGUGGAAGAUGAUGCCGAGGUCCAGGCAGCCUCCGUGUGAACAUCAGGGAGAUAAAGGGUGGGCCUGCUGGACCGAAGUGUCUGGGGAAGCACCUCUGACCUGCUGGGGGAUCUCUCAGCCUUAUCCAGCUAUGAAGAUGCUCUUGCUGAAGCCGUGUAUGAUGAGCUUGAUCAUCUUGUGACUCAGAAGGAGGGUCUUCUUGGCAGCCCAGGUGGGUGUCUCUGUCUGCCCUCCUGGGACCUCUAGUUGUCACACCCACUGGGUGUGCAUAUUUUCUCAGCAUCUGCAGACCCCACACGUUCCCCAGGCUCACAGAGGUAGCUCUCUAAAGUGGCAGGAUGGCCUCUUACAGCCCUGUGAACCUCCAGCCUCUGUCUACACUGCAAGAGCCAGACCCAUCCCUUCUCAGCCUUAACACCGGUCCUGUGGGUGUGGGAGGAUCAUUCUGUGUGUUGUGUGAUGUUUUUCUCCACUUUAGGCUUCCUCUCAGAUGGUGAGGACAAUGACUCCAGGUCUGCUCCAGGUAAUAGAGGUGGACCUGCUUCAGCUGAGUGUUGGGAGGAGAGUUUCCCUCCUCAUAGAGAGGAGAUGUAGGGGGAACAAUCUUCCUUUAAUGGACCAGAGGGAUCCCUUGUGUCCAGAUUGGGUCUGUCCUUAU